CCAAUGUACAUGGCAGAGGGGCAUUGCUGGCACAUGAUACCAAUGUGAUAUAUGCCAUCAUAUAUCCUAUGUCAUAUGUCCUCCUUUUCUUUUUGCAAAACUGAGUUGUUAGCUAAUCAUAGAUGCAAAACUAAAUGUUCUUCAACCUGGAUUUUUAUGAAUGCAAAUAAUCCUUUGCUACUGUUACCAACUAUAACACACCAAUACAGAACGGAGGGCCUUUCCAAAGCCUGCAUACCAUUUGAAGGGUUAAUAGAGGGCUUCGAAUGCAUAUUGGAGGAAUAAUUCUGAGCAAAUUGAUUUUCAUGAGCAAACUGUACCAUUUGCUAAUGUAUUAUUGAAGAGAACUGACUUAUCUUAAUGGCAGAGUCACUGCAAUGUUCAGACUUUGCACUGUAAAAACUUUUGUAAGGAAUGAAAGCUUCUAUUUUGAAAGCCAGUCUUUCGAGGGAUAGAAAACAGUCAUGUUUAAUGUGUAUCUGGCAUUUAAGGUCAAAUUCUGCUUGCCUUACUCAUGUGAAUAGUCCCGCUGAAGUCACUGGUACUACAGUACUUGCUUGAAUAAGAUCAGCAGGAUUUGUCUCAGUGAAACUUGAGCAAAAGGGCUACCCACGUUGAAUGUUUGCAUAGAGCACUGUUAUUUACUUGUGUAAUUUUUGUACUGUAGGUUAGCAUGGAAGUAGCAACCCAGUUUAAAUUGUAAGAAAAGGGAAAAGCUAAAUGCAACCUUAAUAUAAUAUUUUCUCAGUGAUCUCUGUAAAACUUCUGUUCUUCAAUAUAUGCAUAGGACUGACGUAUUGUCAUACAGGCAGGUCUUUUCUUCUGCAAUCUUCUUUCAGGGAGUUUGGUAAGAACAUACUUUUAAUAUUUAUUGUUUAUAGUUUAGCUUUUGUGAAAUGAUUAGAGUACAGAGAACAUUUCUAAUUCCAUUAUCUCAUUAUGUCUGUAUGAUGCUGUGUAUGUUGAUGAAACAUUAGCAAUACAUGUACUGUAAUGAACCAGCAGUCUAAAGAGCAGGGUGAAGCCAACAAAAGGAGCAUCAGUAAAAAUUCUUUGCACUAUGAAUUUUAAUGUCAAGAUUUUUGGUUUCAAUUGUAAGCAGGAAACAAUAAUAUAUAUAUAUGGGGCCCUCUUUAAAUCCAUACAAAUCAAUCCAAACCAAAAUUGUUAUUUUAAGCAACUUAAAGCCUGGCUGGCAAUAUUCUAAAUCACCACUGAUGUUUUAGGUGCCUGGCUGCAAAGAAGUGCAGAACAUCAUGUGUUUACAUUUGUCAGCAUAUAGUGUGAAUCUUAUUAUACUUCAGGAAAUAAGUUGAUUUUUAUUUUCAGUUUUAAGAGAUGGUUUGAGAAAUUCUGUGAUCAGUUCUUUCAAAGUGGUAAAGGUAUUAAACAUCAUACGGUGUAAUUGUUAAAGAUUACACUGAAAAAAUUCAAUAUAAAAAAAUUACUUGGUUGAGGCAAUUUUAGAAUUAUUUCGCAUCAGGUGACUCUGCUUGAACUUAAACCCAUUAGUUUCUAUAUUUAUGCUUUUUUGCCAUAAAGAGAGAGCAUGUUGUAUUGGCAUUACCAUCAGAUAUGUAUUGCAUCUUGCCUUUUGUUACUUUGUAGUUUUUAAAAAGAGCUGUGCAUUCAAGCAGAUGUUAUCAAUUGCAGAAAAAAGAAGCUUUAAAUAAUUUAUUAUUGUUUAAAAGAGAAAAAUCAAAUGGAUCUGGAGGAGAAAAUAUUUUAAAAAUCAUCGCAAAAUUGCUUCCUCAUAUACAAGAGAAAUGUUUUUUCAGUAGCCUAGAGUAUUGAUUAGUAUUCUGUUUUUCUUUAAUCAUAUAACAGAGAUUCUCAAACGGGGGGUUGUGACCGCUCAGGAAGUCAUGAGGUUAUUAAUGGGGGUCAUGAGCUGUCAGCCUCCUCCCCCAAACCUGCUUCACCUCCAGCAUUUAUAAUAGCGUUAAAUAUAAAGAAGUGUUUUUAAUUCAGAAGGGAGGACACAUUCAGAGGCUUUCUGUGCGAAAGAGGUCACCAAUACGUUUGAGAACCACUGAUUAACACAUCAACUGUUAUUUGCUUUGUGUUGCUAGAUGAUGCAGCAUAUGCUCUAAAACGGUCAUAAAUUCUAAAAUACCUUCCUUUAUUUUUCCCUUUCGCCAAACACAAUCUUCUGAAUAAGUAAUGUAGCAAAUUAAAAGGAGGCUAUAGUAUAUUACCAAAUCCAAGACUGAAAAAUUGCAUUCACCCACACAAGCUUGGGAAUCAGGACCUUAAAAAACUUCUGUUUGUGAAAUCACAUAUCCAAAUUCCAAAGAGCACAAAUAGAAAACACCAGAAGUGUGUGAGGGCAGGGAGGGAAGAAUGGGGCCAGGGGCAAGGUAAUGCAGUGGGGGGUAGGGAGGUAACAGUGCAGCUCAGCUUGCCGUCCCUUAGCAUGAGAGAGUAUUAGCAUCUGGGUGAGGGUGUUUGUAUUUUUUCCAAUUUGCAUGCAUAUAGUUUUACCUUAUGUGCUUUAAAAUUAGAUGAAGAGCAGCCUGACGUUCAAAUUUUUGUGAAAGUUAAUUGUACAAUCAUAGGUUACUGUGGUACUUGUUUUCCUUUUGUGUAGCUAUUCCUGUGUAAUUGUAAUGGCCAAAUCCUGCUCUCUUUAGUCAGUGCGACUACUUGUAUGAGCAAGACUAACAGGCUUUAGCCCACAAUGUGUAUUUAUUCAGAGAAACUGAAGCCCAGGUAGCCCCAGUUCCUUCUAUCUUUGUACUUCAGGAACAACCAUUUUUGUUUGAUUGCUGUAUGUAAGCCAUAUCCAUUGUACACUGUGUGUAUAUUUUUAUUUAAAUAAAUGUGACUUUUAUUUUUUA